rnacentral:rRNA from 1 species
UACAGAGGGGGCAAGCGUUGUUCGGAAUUACUGGGCGUAAAGGGCGCGUAGGCGGCCUGUUAAGUCGAACGUGAAAUCCCCGGGCUCAACCCGGGAACUGCGUCCGAUACUGGCAGGCUUGAAUCCGGGAGAGGGAUGCGGAAUUCCAGGUGUAGCGGUGAAAUGCGUAGAUAUCUGGAGGAACACCGGUGGCGAAGGCGGCGAUCCUGGACCGGUAUUGACGCUGAGGCGCGAAAGCCAGGGGAGCGAAACGGG